CAGCCGCGUGAGUAAGAACGCCUUCGGUUUGUAAAGCUCUUUCGGCUGGGAAGAAAUCGCACAGGCUAAUACUCUGUGUGGAUGACGGUACCAGCAUAAGAAGCACCGGCUAACUACGUGCCAGCAGCCGCGGUAAUACGUAGGGUGCGAGCGUUAAUCGGAAUUACUGGGCGUAAAGCGUGCGCAGGCGGUUGUGCAAGACAGAUGUGAAAUCCCCGGGCUCAACCUGGGAACUGCAUUUGUGACUGCACGACUAGAGUACGGCAGAGGGGGGUAGAAUUCCACGUGUAGCAGUGAAAUGCGUAGAGAUGUGGAGGAAUACCGAUGGCGAAGGCAGCCCCCUGGGCCGAUACUGACGCUCAUGCACGAAAGCGUGGGGAGCAAACAGGAUUAGAUACCCUGGUAGUCCACGCCCUAAACGAUGUCAACUAGUUGUUGGUAGGGUUAAACCUAUUAGUAACGUAGCUAACGCGUGAAGUUGACCGCCUGGGGAGUACGGUCGCAAGAUUUAAACUCAAAGGAAUUGACGGGGACCCGCA
rnacentral:rRNA from 1 species